UGAAACAUUUAGACUUUUCUCAAGUUUUUGUUGUUUAAAAAAAGCUAUUGAAGUGAAGACAUGAGAAGAAAUCAUUGUGGUGGACUUUCAGUGAAGUAACCAAACUGACUGUUGAAAUGUUACUGCAGGAGGUUUUUGUACAGCGGCUCAAUGGGUUUGUAUCACUGUGGAGGACUUUUGGUGGAGGAACAAGACUCUCAGUUGGAAAUAAUGCUCUCCCUACUCUAACAGUCCUGCCUCCCUCCAGAGAUGAGUUGAAACAGGGUAAAGCUACAGUCAUGUGUGUUGGCAGUAAGGGUUAUCCGUCUGACUGGAAGCUGAACUGGAAGGUUGAUUGUAGCAGCAAGAGCUCUGGUGUGAAUCUGAAUCCCAGUAUACUGCAGAAAGAUGGACUGUACAGCUGGAGCAGCAGUCUGAGUCUCACUGAGAGUGAAUGGAGAUCAGCAAAAACCAUCAGCUGUGAGGCCACACAGAGUUCCCAGAGUUCAGUCAUCAAAACCAUUGACACACAACAAUGUAAUGCAGAAUAAAACCACACAAUUUACAGAAUAGUAAAUCUUAAUAAAAAUAACAUGUUUUACUUUUUGCAGAGGUUAUGUUGCUUUGUAAUGUAUAGUUUAUUGUAGUGCAUAACAGCAGACUUUAUUAAUUUGCUGAUUCCUAUAUUUUGGUUGCAAAAAUAAAAUGCAUUUUGGCUCAAA